rnacentral:ribozyme from 1 species
ACGUAAAAAGCAAGAGCGAAAUAGAUGCGAAGAAAGAAAAAACGCUGCACUUACCACUGUUUUCAUUGUUUGUAUAAUUCAGAACCCUGCUGCUUUCUUUUUCUUUUUCUUCAAUGUGUGUUUUUUA